AGAACGAACGCUGGCGGCAUGCCUAACACAUGCAAGUCGAACGAGACCUUCGGGUCUAGUGGCGCACGGGUGCGUAACGCGUGGGAAUCUGCCCCUCGGUUCGGGAUAACAGUUGGAAACGACUGCUAAUACCGGAUGAUGUCUUCGGACCAAAGAUUUAUCGCCGAGGGAUGAGCCCGCGUAGGUAUUAGCUAGUUGGUGAAGGUAAAAGCUCACCAAGGCGACGAUCCUUAGCUGGUCUAGAGGAGGAUGAUCAGCCACACGUGGACUAGAGACGACCGGCCCAGACUCCUACGGGAGCAGCGAGU
rnacentral:rRNA from 1 species